rnacentral:rRNA from 1 species
AGCGAACGCUGGCGGCAGGCUUAACACAUGCAAGUCGAGCGGGCGUAGCAAUACGUCAGCGGCAGACGGGUGAGUAACGCGUGGGAACGUACCUUUUGGUUCGGAACAACACAGGGAAACUUGUGCUAAUACCGGAUAAGCCCUUACGGGGAAAGAUUUAUCGCCGAAAGAUCGGCCCGCGUCUGAUUAGCUAGUUGGUGAGGUAACGGCUCACCAAGGCGACGAUCAGUAGCUGGUCUGAGAGGAUGAUCAGCCACAUUGGGACUGAGACACGGCCCAAACUCCUACGGGAGGCAGCAGUGGGGAAUAUUGGACAAUGGGCGCAAGCCUGAUCCAGCCAUGCCGCGUGAGUGAUGAAGGCCCUAGGGUUGUAAAGGCUCUUUUACCCGAGAUGAUAAUGACAGUAUCGGGAGAAUAAGACUCCGGCUAACUCCGUGCCAGCAGCCGCGGUAAU